GUCUAUGGCCAUGCCACCUUGAACGUGCCCAAUCUCGUCUGAUCUCGGAUGCUAAGCAGGGUCGGGCCUGUUUAGUAUGAGAGACCGCCUAAGAAUACCAGGUGCUGUAGGCG
rnacentral:rRNA from 1 species